CAUAGAGAUGGCCCACAGACACAUAAAAACAUGCUUAACAUUAAUCAUCAAGGAAGUGAAAAUCAAAACCAUAAUGAAAUAACCACCACAGAA